UACGGAGGGGGCUAGCGUUGUUCGGAAUUACUGGGCGUAAAGCGCGCGUAGGCGGCUUUGUAAGUUAGAGGUGAAAGCCCGGAGCUUAACUCCGGAACUGCCUUUAAGACUGCAUCGCUAGAAUCGUGGAGAGGUGAGUGGAAUUCCGAGUGUAGAGGUGAAAUUCGUAGAUAUUCGGAAGAGCACCAGUGGCGAAGGCGACUCACUGGACACGUAUUGACGCUGAGGUGCGAAAGCGUGGGGAGCAAACAGG
rnacentral:rRNA from 1 species